AAACUUUCCUUUGGGAAAGAUAUAAAGUGGCGCACGGGUGAGUAACACGUAAGUAAUCUACCUUCGAGUGGGGAAUAACGUCCGGAAACGGACGCUAAUACCGCAUAAUGCAGCGGCAUCGAAAGAUGACAGUUGUUAAAGGAGCAAUUCCCUUGAAGAGGAGCUUGCGGCAGAUUAGCUAGUUGGUAAGGUAAUGGCUUACCAAGGCUACGAUCUGUAUCCGGUCUAAGAGGACGGUCGGACACACUGACACUGAAUAACGGGUCAGACUCCUACGGGAGGCAGCAGUCGGGAAUUUUGGGCAAUGGGCGAAAGCCUGACCCAGCAACGCCGCGUGAAGGAUGAAGUAUUUCGGUAUGUAAACUUCGAAAGAAUGGGAAGAACUCAAUGACGGUACCAUUUAUAAGGUCCGGCUAACUACGUGCCAGCAGCCGCGGUAAUACGUAGGGACCAAGCGUUGUUCGGAUUUACUGGGCGUAAAGGGCGCGUAGGCGGCAAUUCAAGUCAUCUGUGAAAUCUCCGGGCUUAACCCGGAAAGGUCAGAUGAUACUGCUUUGCUAGAGUGCGGAAGGGGCAAUCGGAAUUCUUGGUGUAGCGGUGAAAUGCGUAGAUAUCAAGAGGAACACCUGAGGUGAAGACGGGUUGCUGGGCCGACACUGACGCUGAAGCGCGAAAGCCAGGGGAGCAAACGGGAUUAGAUACCCCGGUAGUCCUGGCCUUAAACGAUGAAUACUUGGUGUCUGGAGUCUCUAUAGCUCCGGGUGCCGUCGCUAACGUUUUUAGUAUUCCGCCUGGGGAGUACGCACGCGAGUGUGAAACUC
rnacentral:rRNA from 1 species